rnacentral:misc_RNA from 1 species
UAUUUUUCACCCAUGUCUUUUGCGCACUUGUUGUUUCCUGGGCGGGUUCGCCCGCCACCAGGACCACACCAUAAACCUUUUUUAUGCAGUUGCAAAUCAGCGUCAGUAUAACAAAUGUAAAUCAUUUACAACUUUCAACAACGGAUCUCUUGGUUCUGGCAUCGAUGAAGAACGCAGCGAAAUGCGAUACGUAGUGUGAAUUGCAGAAUUCAGUGAAUCAUCGAAUCUUUGAACGCACAUUGCGCCCUUUGGUAUUCCAAAGGGCAUGCCUGUUCGAGCGUCAUUUGUACCCUCAAGCUUUGCUUGGUGUUGGGCGUUUUGUCUUUGGCUUUUUGCCCAAAAGACUCGCCCUUAAAACGAUUGGGCAGCCGGCCUACUGGUUUUCGGAGCGCAGCACAUUUUUGCGCUUGCAACCAGCUAAAGAGGCCAGCAAUCCAUCAAGACCCUCUUCUCACUUU